GAUGAACGCUGGCGGCGUGCCUAAUACAUGCAAGUCGAGCGAACGGACGAGACGCUUGCUUCUCUGAUGUUAGCGGCGGACGGGAGUAUAACACGUGGAUAACCUACCUAUCAGACUGGGAUAACUUCGGGAAACCGGAGCUAAUACCGGAUGAUCUUUUGAACCGCAUGGUUCAAAAGUGAAAGACGGUCUUGCUGUCACUUAUCGAUGGAUCCGCGCUGCAUUAGCUAGUUGGUAAGGUAACGGCUUACCACGGCAACGAUGCAUAGCCGACCUGAGAGGGUGAUCGGCCACACUGGAACUGGAACACGGUCCAGACUCCUACGGGACGGAGCAGUAGGGAAUCGUCCGCAAAGGGCGAAAGCAUGGCGGAGCAACGCCGCGUGAGUGAUGACGGUCUUCGGAUCGUAAAACUCUGUUAUUAGGGAAGAACAUAUGUGUACGUAACUGUGCACAUCUUGACGGUACCUAAUCAGAAAGCCACGGCUAACUACGUG
rnacentral:rRNA from 1 species